rnacentral:rRNA from 1 species
AGCGUACACGGUGGAUGCCCUGGCAGUCAGAGGCGAUGAAGGACGUGCUAAUCUGCGAUAAGCGUCGGUAAGGUGAUAUGAACCGUUAUAACCGGCGAUUUCCGAAUGGGGAAACCCAGUGUGUUUCGACACACUAUCAUUAACUGAAUCCAUAGGUUAAUGAGGCGAACCGGGGGAACUGAAACAUCUAAGUACCCCGAGGAAAAGAAAUCAACCGAGAUUCCCCCAGUAGCGGCGAGCGAACGGGGAGGAGCCCAGAGCCUGAAUCAGUGUGUGUGUUAGUGGAAGCGUCUGGAAAGGCGCGCGAUACAGGGUGACAGCCCCGUACACAAAAAUGCACAUGCUGUGAGCUCGAUGAGUAGGGCGGGACACGUGGUAUCCUGUCUGAAUAUGGGGGGACCAUCCUCCAAGGCUAAAUACUCCUGACUGACCGAUAGUGAACCAGUACCGUGAGGGAAAGGCGAAAAGAACCCCGGCGAGGGGAGUGAAAAAGAACCUGAAACCGUGUACGUACAAGCAGUGGGAGCCUCUUAAUGGGGUGACUGCGUACCUUUUGUAUAAUGGGUCAGCGACUUAUAUUCUGUAGCAAGGUUAACCGAAUAGGGGAGCCGAAGGGAAACCGAGUCUUAACUGGGCGUUAAGUUGCAGGGUAUAGACCCGAAACCCGGUGAUCUAGCCAUGGGCAGGUUGAAGGUUGGGUAACACUAACUGGAGGACCGAACCGACUAAUGUUGAAAAAUUAGCGGAUGACUUGUGGCUGGGGGUGAAAGGCCAAUCAAACCGGGAGAUAGCUGGUUCUCCCCGAAAGCUAUUUAGGUAGCGCCUCGUGAAUUCAUCUCCGGGGGUAGAGCACUGUUUCGGCAAGGGGGUCAUCCCGACUUACCAACCCGAUGCAAACUGCGAAUACCGGAGAAUGUUAUCACGGGAGACACACGGCGGGUGCUAACGUCCGUCGUGAAGAGGGAAACAACCCAGACCGCCAGCUAAGGUCCCAAAGUCAUGGUUAAGUGGGAAACGAUGUGGGAAGGCCCAGACAGCCAGGAUGUUGGCUUAGAAGCAGCCAUCAUUUAAAGAAAGCGUAAUAGCUCACUGGUCGAGUCGGCCUGCGCGGAAGAUGUAACGGGGCUAAACCAUGCACCGAAGCUGCGGCAGCGACACUAUGUGUUGUUGGGUAGGGGAGCGUUCUGUAAGCCUGUGAAGGUAGCCUGUGAGGGUUGCUGGAGGUAUCAGAAGUGCGAAUGCUGACAUAAGUAACGAUAAAGCGGGUGAAAAGCCCGCUCGCCGGAAGACCAAGGGUUCCUGUCCAACGUUAAUCGGGGCAGGGUGAGUCGACCCCUAAGGCGAGGCCGAAAGGCGUAGUCGAUGGGAAACAGGUUAAUAUUCCUGUACUUGGUGUUACUGCGAAGGGGGGACGGAGAAGGCUAUGUUGGCCGGGCGACGGUUGUCCCGGUUUAAGCGUGUAGGCUGGUUUUCCAGGCAAAUCCGGAAAAUCAAGGCUGAGGCGUGAUGACGAGGCACUACGGUGCUGAAGCGACAAAUGCCCUGCUUCCAGGAAAAGCCUCUAAGCAUCAGGUAACAUCAAAUCGUACCCCAAACCGACACAGGUGGUCAGGUAGAGAAUACCAAGGCGCUUGAGAGAACUCGGGUGAAGGAACUAGGCAAAAUGGUGCCGUAACUUCGGGAGAAGGCACGCUGAUAUGUAGGUGAAGCGACUUGCUCGUGGAGCUGAAAUCAGUCGAAGAUACCAGCUGGCUGCAACUGUUUAUUAAAAACACAGCACUGUGCAAACACGAAAGUGGACGUAUACGGUGUGACGCCUGCCCGGUGCCGGAAGGUUAAUUGAUGGGGUUAGCGGUAACGCGAAGCUCUUGAUCGAAGCCCCGGUAAACGGCGGCCGUAACUAUAACGGUCCUAAGGUAGCGAAAUUCCUUGUCGGGUAAGUUCCGACCUGCACGAAUGGCGUAAUGAUGGCCAGGCUGUCUCCACCCGAGACUCAGUGAAAUUGAACUCGCUGUGAAGAUGCAGUGUACCCGCGGCAAGACGGAAAGACCCCGUGAACCUUUACUAUAGCUUGACACUGAACAUUGAGCCUUGAUGUGUAGGAUAGGUGGGAGGCUUUGAAGUGUGGACGCCAGUCUGCAUGGAGCCGACCUUGAAAUACCACCCUUUAAUGUUUGAUGUUCUAACGUUGGCCCCUAAUCGGGGUUGCGGACAGUGUCUGGUGGGUAGUUUGACUGGGGCGGUCUCCUCCUAAAGAGUAACGGAGGAGCACGAAGGUUGGCUAAUCCUGGUCGGACAUCAGGAGGUUAGUGCAAUGGCAUAAGCCAGCUUGACUGCGAGCGUGACGGCGCGAGCAGGUGCGAAAGCAGGUCAUAGUGAUCCGGUGGUUCUGAAUGGAAGGGCCAUCGCUCAACGGAUAAAAGGUACUCCGGGGAUAACAGGCUGAUACCGCCCAAGAGUUCAUAUCGACGGCGGUGUUUGGCACCUCGAUGUCGGCUCAUCACAUCCUGGGGCUGAAGUAGGUCCCAAGGGUAUGGCUGUUCGCCAUUUAAAGUGGUACGCGAGCUGGGUUUAGAACGUCGUGAGACAGUUCGGUCCCUAUCUGCCGUGGGCGCUGGAGAACUGAGGGGGGCUGCUCCUAGUACGAGAGGACCGGAGUGGACGCAUCACUGGUGUUCGGGUUGUCAUGCCAAUGGCACUGCCCGGUAGCUAAAUGCGGAAGAGAUAAGUGCUGAAAGCAUCUAAGCACGAAACUUGCCCCGAGAUGAGUUCUCCCUGACUCCUUGA